rnacentral:rRNA from 1 species
GGUUUCUGCUAAGUCGCAAGACGAUGUAUAGGAGCUGACGCCUGCCCGGUGCUGGAAGGUUAAGGGGAUCUGUUAGAGCAAUCGAAGCAGUGAACUUAAGCCCCAGUAAACGGCGGCCGUAACUAUAACGGUCCUAAGGUAGCGAAAUUCCUUGUCGGGUAAGUUCCGACCCGCACGAAAGGCGUAACGAUUUGGGCACUGUCUCAACAACAGACUCGGUGAAAUUGUAAUUCCGGUGAAGAUGCCGGAUACCUGCGACAGGACGGAAAGACCCCAUGGAGCUUUACUGUAGCUUGACAUUGGGUCUUGGUACUACAUGUACAGGAUAGGUGGGAGGCUUUGAAACCAGGACGCCAGUUUUGG